GUCCAAGGAAAAUGGAGUAUAGAACAGGUUGUUUGGCCAGCUUAGCCAAAGUUAGGCUAACUGUAGUUGCUGGGCCAUUCCUGUCUCUCUGUGAAACAUGAGGACAUGCUUGCUUGGGCUUCAAAGAAUGAGAUAAAGGGGGGGACCAUAUUCUUGUACCAAAUGUACUAGGAACGGUUUGUUUGGACAUAUGGAGACUUGCAGUCUCCACUCCCUGUUUCUGUUCUUAACUCCCUACUUUCUCCUAGUUUCUAGUGCAUGACGAAAAAGCUGAUAAGAAGCUGCUGAGGAAUCAUGAACUGUUUGUACUGUCAAAGAACAUAGAUAUGCAUGAAUAUUAGAAGCUUUUAACUAGUAAAGGAGGGGAUUGGGUUGCUUUAACUAUGACGCGACGGAACUGUCUAUAUAAUCUCACUAGUUAUUGUAAUCGUGGCUGGUUCUCUCUGGAGACGGGCCGCUCUCUAUUGUUGUGUGCACUCUUCAAUAAAGAGCUUGUAUUGGAUCUUGCUGGUGUUGCCUGUCUCUCACUCUGCGGUCAGACAACGAACCUUGCCAUCUGGGUUAAAAAGUCCCCGACAAAUUUGGCGACUCCGCCGGGACUCGUCUGACUCUCCGGUGCGGGAUCAGACUCCGAAGCAACGCAGCGCGCAUCCUCUGGCUUCUAGGAGCCUUGCCCGGUAACCUGAUCCCUGCAUCGGCGAUAAGGCGAGUUCUGUGAACCAGCUGAAGCCCGUAGAAACCCAGCAAUGUCCACCUACCCGUUGAGUAGGAUCCAGGUCUUCGGGGUUCGAGUCCCUGGGGAGGUCAGGUCUUUGGGGUUCGAGUCCCUGAAUAAGGUUUUUCUCACAGGUAAAGAAGUGCUACCUAAAGACCGUAGCAGCCCUGCCAUUCAUUAAAACCAGGAGACUGAGUCUACGUAAAGUCCAUCAACGAAAGACUGCUUUGACUCCACACUGGAAAGCCCUUUCCAAGUCCUGUUAACCACCAACACCGCUGUGAAGUGCCAAGGACUGCCUACCUGGACCCAUGUUUCUCACUGUAAAAAGACCCCUCCACCUCGGGAGGACUCUCCGACUGAUGAUCAGCCUAUUCCUCCUUCUAACUCUGCUGUGCCUUCUGGACAGCAGGGAAAAGAAAAAAAAGACAAGGUGAAGUGCUAGUAACCUCUCCCUUGUCCACUGACAGACCUACUGUGCCUUUGGAUUUUUUUCUAAAAGAAGCAAAACCCAUUACAGAGUGAUGUGCUGGUAACCUCUCCCCUGUAUGAUGCUGAACCAUACUGUUUCAGAAAAAGAGAAGAAAAAACACUCGCUCCAUUGAAACCACCAAAGUCCAGGAAUUCCUGACUACAAAAAAACAUUAAGAGCUGACCCUGGUAAAGAAACAAAGAAUUAUACACUGGCAGGAAGAAACUUGUGGGACCCAUGCUUGGGAAUGUGGUUUUGAUUGGAUUUUGGGGUUUAUUCUACAGGCUGCGCCCUGUGUUUUGGAUAAGUCCUUCAGCAUGUAUUGCCCUCCCUAAUUGGAUUUUAAAUGCAAAAAGGGCUGUAUUAGAUUAGCACAACAGAGGGCUUGAGUUAUUUCCUCUAGAAAAAAGAGAGACUUGACCGGAUCCCUAUGGGAUAGGGCCAAUAGUACAGCAGCAGUUUAAAAUAUUUUUAAAAAACCAAAAACAUAAUAAGAAAUUAGAGCAACUAAAGAAGGCCACAAGCCUUAUUUGUGGAGCACAGCUAACCCAGGUACAGGUUGGAAUUAGUGAGUUACAUGUUAUCUCCGUCCUUAGUUCUAUGACCCAGAAGUUGCUGACAGAGAUGGUAUUGAAUAUCACUGAGGCUGGGAAGGCAUUGCAGUGGGAUCUAGCAUGUUCAGGCUUGGCCCACUGCCCUUACAGACACAUCAGGAGUACCAUCUGAUCUGUGGCCAUAAAGAAAUACUUGGAGACUUCCUGGUGGAAGUGCGGACAUUCUCAAUGCUCCUUCCAAGCAUAUGGACCGGUUAGGGAGGUGUGGGCUCCCACAUACCGAAUCCUGCCGGCUCCACGGGGAAGAUGCAUGUGGGAUUGGGUAAUUCACCGAGACAUCUGAGAAAUUAGACUAACGCCGAUGCCCUGGUGGACUUGGCAACCGCACAAAGAAAACUAAGGCAGAUGGUUCUCCAGAACCACUUGGCUCUAGAUAUUUUACUGGCCUCUCAGAGAGGAACAUGUGCAUUAAUUGGACAAGAAUGCUGUGUGUAUGUCCCAGACGUUUAUAAUGCCACUUAGGAAAGAGCAAACCACCUUAUGGAAGUAGCAAAGGACCACGGAAAGAAGCGAAUUGAAUCCUAGUGGAGUAACCUGUUCAAUUGGAUUCCAAAUAUAGGUGGUUGGCUCCAUAAUGUACUCCAAAGCACCGUUGUAAUUAUAUGCAGCUUGCUGGCCUUGUAUGUUAUAAUAAAAGUUGGAUGGGCACCAAGGUGUGUUCUGUCCAAAAGUAACAAACUCCCAAGUUUACCACUCACAGUAGUUAGUUGUCCCAGGAGUCCCUUCAAAGUACUCCAGGGACAAAGGGGGGACUGUUAGGUCCAAGGAAAAUGGAGUAUAGAACAGGUUGUUUGGCCAGCUUAGCCAAAGUUAGGCUAACUGUAGUUGCUGGGCCAUUCCUGUCUCUCUGUGAAACAUGAGGACAUGCUUGCUUGGGCUUCAAAGAAUGAGAUAAAGGGGGGGACCAUAUUCUUGUACCAAAUGUACUAGGAACGGUUUGUUUGGACAUAUGGAGACUUGCAGUCUCCACUCCCUGUUUCUGUUCUUAACUCCCUACUUUCUCCUAGUUUCUAGUGCAUGACGAAAAAGCUGAUAAGAAGCUGCUGAGGAAUCAUGAACUGUUUGUACUGUCAAAGAACAUAGAUAUGCAUGAAUAUUAGAAGCUUUUAACUAGUAAAGGAGGGGAUUGGGUUGCUUUAACUAUGACGCGACGGAACUGUCUAUAUAAUCUCACUAGUUAUUGUAAUCGUGGCUGGUUCUCUCUGGAGACGGGCCGCUCUCUAUUGUUGUGUGCACUCUUCAAUAAAGAGCUUGUAUUGGA